ACAGAGAGCAGCUGCGGGAUUACACGAUGCAGAUUAGCGGCGGCGUUGAUUCAGCAGAUUGCCCUGUGCGUGUGUGAGGGGGAUUACGGCGGCGCGGGGCAGAACCGCCGUGCGGGUAAGCGGGGCUGUGCGCAGGGCCGGCCGCUCAGCGCUGCGCCUCACGAGCCGCGGGUAACAGCCGCGGGGAGACGCGUCCCACAGAGGCUGCCUUACCUUGGCGUCAGGGUUUUACAGCUCCUCCGUGUCAGUGAGCUCGGCUACGCCUCGUCCUCAUACGAACGUAUCUUGAAGCGUUCCUUACUGAGCUCUUCGCUUGCUGCAGGCAGUUGGGUUUUCUCCUGAUGCCUGAUCGGUGCCCGUGCUCACAUCGGUUACAACCCUCGCAGUCAGGGUCAUUGGAAGCCGCCACCUAAAUAAGAAAACCAACUCCUUUUAACGAGGCUUUGAGAUAACUGUGGGAGGAAAUAAGAGCCGUGGGUUACUGAUUGCCCUGGCAGAUAUCAAGGACACUUCUUAGAGUGCAGCUCAGGUCUAAGGAGCCUACCAGCAGAUGAGCACAAUUCCUAACACCUUUUUUCCCCCUUUUUGUUUUCAGUACUCAAAUAUUUCAGUUUGGACUGAGCGAUAUUUUAGUUCUUUUUUCCCCUUAAAAAGAAUACAUAGUGCAGUAAGGUCCCAUUCAGCAAGAUACACCUUAAUGUAAAAGGGACAGCGUAUGUGUGAAAUGGUCAUGACUGAACUUAUCUUUAAUUUGCUUCUAUAGAAAUUAACUUCUAAGAAUGCUUGGAUAACAGAGAGCCAUAAAGCAUAAUCCAGAUCCCUGUUCGGUCUGGGUUUUUAUUUCUCUGUGCUCCUUAAGAUUUCCAGCUGCCAUCUGUUGGGGAUACCACAGCCCAUGAAUACUUAGAAUAGUUAACCAUUCAAAGCACACAAAAGCAAGUGAUAAUUACAGCUCGCUGAUCUCAGUGUAUGGGGAGCAAAGCGCACAGGUUCAUUUAAAGACAAAUCCAAUGACUUCCAAAGGCUUUUCCCUGCCUCCAAUACAGCCAUGUAUUAGCACGUAUUUUUGCUAGCCCUGAACCCACUGCAGUUUUGUGCCUGUGUCCUCAGUCUGCCCACAAAUCCAGUAGCAGUUCCCAACAAGAAAAAAAGGUAGUCCUUUCCCCCAGGGUUUCAGUGCCCAAGAAGCAUAGAAGUGCAUCAUUUUUUUUCCCACAUGCUUCACUUUAAUCUGUGAUUUCUCCGCUUUAGAAUAGUAACCUGGUAUUUAUCACUUCUGCAGCAUUCAGCAGGGGACACGUUUGCUGAGUUACUCCUUCACAGGCACAGUUCAGCAAAGUGCCGUUUUAGAAGAAUAGCUUCUGACCAAGAAUUAGAAUUGUUGGAAUAAUAUGCGAACAGAUCAUGAAGAACUCUGUGGCACCAGUUAUGGAUCUUUUUGUCUAAAUGGAGGCAUUUGCUAUAUGAUUCCUACUGUACCCAGUCCAUUCUGCAGGUGUAUUGAGAAUUACACAGGAGCACGCUGCGAAGAAGUUUUGCUGCCCAGCAUCAAGUCUCAAACAAAAGGUGACCUGUUUGCAGUUCUCUUGGCUUCACUUCUCCUUCUCGGAGUUCUUUUAAUUGGAACAUUCUACUUCCUUUGCAGGAAAGCCACCAUUGCAAGGACAAGCUCCUCAGAGUGUGGUGCCCACCUGGUUGAGACUACAAGCAGCAAUGGCUGCAACAAAAUAAUAACGGAGUAAAGCAUUACAGUGGAAGAAUGGUGAGAAAAUGAUGUGCAGAGCAACCCUAACAGUUGUAGAGGUUGAUAUGGAUUAUAUUACUCGGGCAAAGAGAGGUCAAAUGACAUGGUCUGUCUCCCUUUCUCCCCUGAUGACACAAAGAGAAUGGCUGGGUACUGAGAGGCACAGAAAACAUGAAUUGAACAGUCCUACUUUCAUCUCGUUUCUACCACUGGAGGUUGUGACUAGGAAAACCAAUAUGUAUUUAUACAGCAGCACAUCACCCAGCAGCUCGCUACGUGGGAUCUAUGAUGUACUGAAGAAAAAGCUUGAGAAAACUUCAGGAAGUGAAAGGGAAGAAAAUGCAGAAUGCAGAUUUCUCAUCUCUGAAAUAAAGGAAAAAAAGGUGUGUAAAAACGAAGGCAGAAAGAAAAAUGUGAGUAAGUGUCAGUUCCUGGGGCGCGUACUGCAUGCUCUCACAUCAGAAAUGAUAGUGUGUAUUUUACACACACGUAGAUGCAAACACAGCAAGACAAAGAAGAAAAGGCAAAGUGUUACAGUGCAUACAGUAAGAAGUCAAAGAGAAAAUCGUAAUACAACAGCUAUUAGAAAACAACAGAGGAAAAUGUAUUACUUUCUGAGGACUCAUGUCAAAGAAGCUGGAGUACGAGUGAAAGCUCAGCAUCUGCAGGAAGACAUCCAAUCAACCAGAGAUCCUGAACCAGAAAUGUUCCAGUUAUAUAAAGCAUAGGUUCCUCCUCAAACUAACCAGCUUACAUGCUGGUUUUGGGACUCCAAACCUUUAUCAGUUACUCAGGAGGACGUUGUUAACACUGUUUUAAAGGCUAGGAAAGAACAAAGUGAUUUUUCAUCGCGUACGGACACACCACUGUUAGGUUCAGAGUUCAGGAGAUACAAAAAUACUGACAGCUACAUCAGAAUCAGAGUUACCUGAAAUACUCUGCACAGUCUCUGUGGAAUUUAGUCAGAGAAGACUGCUGUCAGGUAAGCUCUGUGCAUUAUUGAUCACGAGACAUUCAGACUGACUAACAGUACCGUUCAGCACGCUGUUUUCACCAAAGAAGAAAAGGUUUAUGGCCAUCUGAAAUGGCAAUUGAGGGAGGAAGUAUUACUACAAGAUGUGGAAAAGGAACGGACUGAAGCUGUACUCUGUGAACUGUUAAAACCCUCUUGGCUUUCUAGACACACAUGGAAUAGUUCUUCAGUAUUACCACUCACAUUUGCAUUAUUCGGGAAACAAUUUGUACAAAAAAGAGAAUGAAUAAAUCAAAUGGGUGUUUAAAUGCAAA